GACGAACGCUGGCGGCACGCCUAACACAUGCAAGUCGAGCGGAGAUUGAGAGCUUGCUCUCAUGAUCAGCGGCGGACGGGUGAGUAACACGUGAGCAACCUGCCUUUCAGAGGGGGACAACAGUUGGAACGACUGCUAAUACCGCAUAAUAUUGCCGGCCGGCAUCGGCUGGCAAUCAAGGAGCAAUCCGCUGAAAGAUGGGCUCGCGUCUGAUUAGAUAGUUGGUGAGGUAACGGCCCACCAAGUCGACGAUCAGUAGCCGGACUGAGAGGUUGAUCGGCCACAUUGGGACUGAGACACGGCCCAGACUCCUACGGGAGGCAGCAGUGGGGGAUAUUGGACAAUGGGGGGAAACCCUGAUCCAGCGAUGCCGCGUGAGGGAAGAAGGUUUUCGGAUUGUAAACCUCUGUGGACAGGGACGAUAAUGACGGUACCUGUUUAGAAAGCCACGGCUAACUACGUG
rnacentral:rRNA from 1 species